GAUGAACGCUGGCGGCGUGCCUAAUACAUGCAAGUCGAGCGAACAGACGAGGAGCUUGCUCCUCUGACGUUAGCGGCGGACGGGUGAGUAACACGUGGAUAACCUACCUAUAAGACUGGGAUAACUUCGGGAAACCGGAGCUAAUACCGGAUAAUAUAUUGAACCGCAUGGUUCAAUAGUGAAAGACGGUUUUGCUGUCUCUUCUAGAUGGAUCCGCGCCGCAUUAGCUAGUUGGUAAGGUAACGGCUUACCAAGGCAACGAUGCGUAGCCGACCUGAGAGGGUGAUCGGCCACCCGGGAGCUGAGACACGGUCCAGACUCCUGAGGGAGGCAGCAGUAGGGAAUCUUCCGCAGUGGGCGAAAGCCUGACGGAGCAACGGCACGUGAGUGAUGAAGGUCUUCGGAUCGUAAAACUCUGUUAUUAGGGAAGAACAAAUGUGUAAGUAACUAUGGCCGUCUUGACGGUACCUAAUCAGAAAGCCACGGCUAACUACGUG
rnacentral:rRNA from 1 species